rnacentral:rRNA from 1 species
GACUCUGGGAUAAGCACUGGAAACGGUGUCUAAUACCGGAUAUGAACCUCAGCCGCAUGGCUAGGGGUUGGAAAGAAUUUCGGUCAAGGAUGGACUCGCGGCCUAUCAGCUAGUUGGUGAGGUAAUGGCCCACCAAGGCGACGACGGGUAGCCGGCCUGAGAGGGUGACCGGCCACACUGGGACUGAGACACGGCCCAGACUCCUACGGGAGGCAGCAGUGGGGAAUAUUGCACAAUGGGCGCAAGCCUGAUGCAGCAACGCCGCGUGAGGGACGACGGCCUUCGGGUUGUAAACCUCUUUUAGUAGGGAAGAAGCGAAAGUGACGGUACCUGCAGAAAAAGCACCGGCUAACUACGUGCCAGCAGCCGCGGUAAUACGUAGGGUGCAAGCGUUGUCCGGAAUUAUUGGGCGUAAAGAGCUCGUAGGCGGUUUGUCGCGUCUGCUGUGAAAACCCGAGGCUCAACCUCGGGCCUGCAGUGGGUACGGGCAGACUAGAGUGCGGUAGGGGAGAUUGGAAUUCCUGGUGUAGCGGUGGAAUGCGCAGAUAUCAGGAGGAACACCGAUGGCGAAGGCAGAUCUCUGGGCCGUAACUGACGCUGAGGAGCGAAAGCAUGGGGAGCGAACAGGAUUAGAUACCCUGGUAGUCCAUGCCGUAAACGUUGGGAACUAGAUGUAGGGGCCAUUCCACGGUUUCUGUGUCGCAGCUAACGCAUUAAGUUCCCCGCCUGGGGGAGUACGGCCGCAAGGCUAAAACUCAAAGGAAUUGACGGGGGCCCGCACAAGCGGCGGAGCAUGCGGAUUAAUUCGAUGCAACGCGAAGAACCUUACCAAGGCUUGACAUAUACGAGAACGGGCCA